UUUUAAAACAAUAAUCUAGGGACAAAAAUUGAAAGCUUUAGCUCCUAGUGACUACAAGCUGUAGACUGUAGGUUGGCACAAAAUCUGAAUGGGAGUCAGUGGAUUUGGUGAGCAAAUCUUUGCAACAAGCCCUUUGAUGUUCUAAAGCUAAAGCCGUUUCAGCUGAAAGCCGGUUGGGGCGCCGGGAUUAGGACUGUGGUUUCUAUCUUUUGAAAAUAGCGCUCCCCCUUGUGGCCAUUCGCAUGCUGACUUCUAAAAUUGAGUUCUGAGAGCUCUUCUGGCUUGGGGAGCAUCUCUCCCAGUUUGUUUUCUUUCUGCUUUUAUAUUGUAGCCCUGUCUUCGAGGUAGAUUUCAGUCUCCGCUCGCCCCCUCGGUCAAGAAGCCUUGUUUAUUGUUAUUAGAUAUCGAUGAUGCUGACGGGCCCUACGUGGAGGGUCUGUGAUCAGACAGAAGGGUGAUGGGUCAGGACUCGCUUCUGCUGCGUUUGACGUCUCCCAGGUUGGAGGCCAGUAGUGGGGAAGUCGCCGGGCUUAGACUCCCAGGACACCAGGUUUGGAUCCCGGCUGUAUCAUUAACUGAUAGAGUUUUUUCUGGUCCAGGGCUCAAAGCCGUUAUGUAUGCAGCCAAAGGCCUCAAAGAACGAUUGUUCUCCAGGACACCUUCCCGUUCUGAGAGGCUAGCUCUAGAGUAUUUGGGAAGGGGGUAUGUUAGACCCUGGCUUCUUCCAUUUUUCCUGGGGGCUUAUUCCACAGCCUGGGCUGCUGUGAGUUCAAUCAUGUGGUUGCCUGGGAGCCUAGUGAGAAGAAAACCCAAGCACAAGUCCACUUGGAGAACUCCAGCAUCAUUUUAGUGGGGAGGUGCCAUGUCCUCUACCUAGGGGCUGGAGGGAUGGCAGCUUGUACUGGCCGAAGGGUUCUUGGAAGAGAUCCCCAAGGGGCACACAUUCCUUAAAAUGUGACAGGCACAACGAGGGACUCCAUUUUAAAUCUAUCAAAUUAAAGAUUGUUUGAAAUGAUGCUCAAUGCAUGCAAGGUUUGGUUAGAUGGGCAAGUCGAUGGGGUGUAAACAGGUUGAUUUUUGUGUGGGCAGUUUGAAAAUAUCAAGAGCUUCGAAAAUGAUGGUUACUUUUUUCUUGAAAUUUCAAUCACAGAGGCAGAAUGUGAGCAAAGAUGACUACACAAAGACAUUCACUCUGGCUUCCAGUCUGUGGUUAGGAAAACUGGAAGCAAGCUAAAUGUUUAGCUUUAGGGAAGAGGCUUAAGAUGUGGUAACCAAGGUUGCUUUUAUUAGUUUUGCCAUGGAUGGAGCCUUUCUUCAGAUCUUCAGGCUCAUGUGGAAAAACUGGUAAAACGGAAAGCAAAUGGAAGAAUAUAAAAACCCCAGUAAUCCCACCACCUAGAGAAAACUACUCACUGAUGUGAACAUACCUGUACAUAAAUCUUGUCUAUAUUCGUACUUUUGAAAGUCGCCGUUUCCAAGAACCUAUUCAUGAUGUUAGGUGAGGAUUUACCGUCCUUGAAAAAAAAACCUCCCCAAAAGUAGGAAAUUUCAAAGCAUAACAAAGACCCAAUUCUUGCUGCUCUGGUGUUGCUUUGGUGGGAACUUCAGCAGCAGUUCUGUGGAUUGUCCUGACAGAUGCCACCACUUUUGAACACUGGUAAAUUUAAACAGUGUAAAUUGCAUUUGUUCUUUUCAAGGAUUCUCUCAUGCAUAUUUUCUCAUUCAAUUUUUAAUGAGCUAAAACUUGAUUGAUACUUAAUGCAUAAUUGCAUGCUUUAAGUAUAUGUGUCCUUGUUAUUUCCAUUUUAUAGCCAAAAUUUGGGCAUGGAAAUUUAGAGAUUGAAUAGCUUACUCACUCAAAUGUUCAAGUUAGCAGUCAAACCCCUGUUCUCUGAUUAUUUUCC